rnacentral:rRNA from 1 species
GACGAACGCUGGCGGCGUGCUUAACACAUGCAAGUCGAACGGAAAGGCCCUGCUCUUGCGGGGUGCUCGAGUGGCGAACGGGUGAGUAACACGUGAGUAACCUGCCCUUGACUUUGGGAUACCUUCGGGAAACUGGGGCUAAUAUCGGACAGGAGCUCCUGCUGCAUGGUGGGGGUUGGAAAGUUGCGGCGGUUGGGGAUGGACUCGCGGCUUACCAGCGUGUUGGUGGGGUAGUGGCUUACCAAGGCUUUGACGGGUAGCCGGCCUGAGAGGGUGACCGGCCACAUUGGGACUGAGAUACGGCCCAUACUCCUACGGGAGGCAGCAGUGGGGAAUAUUGCACAAUGGGCGGAAGCCUGAUGCAGCAACGCCGCGUGCGAGAUGACGGCCUUCGGGUUGUAAACCGCUUUCGCCUGUGACGAAGCGUGAGUGACGGUAAUGGGUAAAGAAGCACCGGCUAACUACGUG